rnacentral:rRNA from 1 species
CGCUGGCGGCGUGCUUAACACAUGCAAGUCGAACGGAAAGGCCCCUUCGGGGGUACUCGAGUGGCGAACGGGUGAGUAACACGUGGGUGAUCUGCCCUGCACUUUGGGAUAAGCCUGGGAAACUGGGUCUAAUACCGAAUAGGACCACGCGCUUCAUGGUGUGUGGUGGAAAGCUUUUGCGGUGUGGGAUGGGCCCGCGGCCUAUCAGCUUGUUGGUGGGGUAAUGGCCUACCAAGGCGACGACGGGUAGCCGGCCUGAGAGGGUGUCCGGCCACACUGGGACUGAGAUACGGCCCAGACUCCUACGGGAGGCAGCAGUGGGGAAUAUUGCACAAUGGGCGCAAGCCUGAUGCAGCGACGCCGCGUGGGGGAUGACGGCCUUCGGGUUGUAAACCUCUUUCAGUAUCGGCGAAGCUCCAGGAUUCUUCUUGGGGUGACGGUAGGUACAGAAGAAGCACCGGCCAACUACGUGCCAGCAGCCGCGGUAAUACGUAGGGUGCGAGCGUUGUCCGGAAUUACUGGGCGUAAAGAGCUCGUAGGUGGUUUGUCACGUUGUCCGUGAAAACUCACAGCUUAACUGUGGGCGUGCGGGCGAUACGGGCAGACUGGAGUACUGUAGGGGAGACUGGAAUUCCUGGUGUAGCGGUGGAAUGCGCAGAUAUCAGGAGGAACACCGG